rnacentral:rRNA from 1 species
GACGAACGCUGGCGGCGUGCUUAACACAUGCAAGUCGAACGGAGCGAAUGAAAGCGUGCUUUUAUGAGCUUAGUGGCAAACGGGUGAGUAACACGUAGACAACCUGCCGACAGGAUGGGGACAACAUUCCGAAAGGAAUGCUAAUACCGAAUGAAGCGGAGGAGAGGCAUCUCUCCUCCGUGAAAGAUGGCCUCUAUUUAUAAGCUAUCACCUGUCGAUGGGUCUGCGUCUGAUUAGCUAGUUGGUGAGGUAACGGCUCACCAAGGCGACGAUCAGUAGCCGGUCUGAGAGGAUGAACGGCCACAUUGGGACUGAGACACGGCCCAGACUCCUACGGGAGGCAGCAGUGGGGAAUCUUCCGCAAUGGGCGCAAGCCUGACGGAGCAACGCCGCGUGAGUGAAGAAGGUCUUCGGAUCGUAAAGCUCUGUUGAUGGGGACGAAUGUACGGAGUGCGAAUAGUGCUCUG